AGAGUUUGAUCAUGGCUCAGAACGUACGCUGGCGGCACGCCUAACACAUGCAAGUCGAACGAAGUAGCAAUACUUAGUGGCAGACGGGUGAGUAACAUGUAGGUAUCUGCCCUUUGGCCUGGAAUAACACGAGGAAACUUGUGCUAAUACCGGAUAAGUCUUUACGGAGAAAGCUUUAUGCACCAUUGGAUGAGCCUGCACUUGAUUAGUUUGUUGGUGGGGUAAUGGCCUACCAAGACUGUGAUCAAUAGCUGAUUUGAGAGGAUGAUCAGCCACAUUGGGACUGAGACACGGCCCAAACUCCUACGGGAGGCAGCAGUGGGGAAUCUUGCACAAUGGAGGAAACUCUGAUGCAGCGAUGCCGCGUGAGUGAAGAAGGCCCUUGGGUUGUAAAGCUCUUUCGUCGGGGAAGAAAAUGACUGUACCCGAAUAAGAAGGUCCGGCUAACUUCGUGCCAGCAGCCGCGGUAAUACGAAGGGACCUAGCGUAGUUCGGAAUUACUGGGCUUAAAGAGUUCGUAGGUGGUUGAAAAAGUUAGUGGUGAAAUCCCAGAGCUUAACUCUGGAACUGCCAUUAAAACUUUUCAGCUAGAGUAUGAUAGAGGAAAGCAGAAUUUCUAGUGUAGAGGUGAAAUUCGUAGAUAUUAGAAAGAAUACCAAUUGCGAAGGCAGCUUUCUGGAUCAUUACUGACACUGAGGAACGAAAGCAUGGGUAGCGAAGAGGAUUAGAUACCCUCGUAGUCCAUGCCGUAAACGAUGUGUGUUAGACGUUGGAAAUUUAUUUUCAGUGUCGCAGGGAAACCGAUAAACACACCGCCUGGGGAGUACGACCGCAAGGUUAAAACUCAAAUGAAUUGACGGGGACCCGCACAAGUAGUGGAGCAUGUGGUUUAAUUCGAAGAUACGCGCAGAACCUUACCAACACUUGACAUGUUCGUCGCGACUCUAAGAGAUUAGAGUUUUCGGUUCGGCCGGACGAAACACAGGUGCUGCAUGGCUGUCGUCAGCUCGUGUCGUGAGAUGUUGGGUUAAGUCCCGCAACGAGCGCAACCCUCACUUUUAGUUGCCAUCAUUAAGUUGGGCACUCUGAAAGAACUGCCAGUGAUAAGCUGGAGGAAGGUGGGGAUGACGUCAAGUCCUCAUGGCCCUUACGUGUUGGGCUACACACGUGCUACAAUGGUAUUUACAACAGGAAGCAAGACUGCGAGGUCAAGCAAAUCCCUAAAAGAUACCUCAGUUCGGAUUGCACUCUGCAACUCGAGUGCAUGAAGCUGGAAUUACUAGUAAUCGUGGAUCAGCGUGCCACGGUGAAUGCGUUCCCGGGUCUUGUACACACCGCCCGUCACACCAUGGGAGUUGGUUCUACCUUAAGGCAAGGUUUUAAACCCUUGACCACGGUAUAGUCAGCGACUGGGGUGAAGUCGUAACAAGGUAGCCGUAGGGGAACCUGCGGCUG
rnacentral:rRNA from 1 species